GGGAGACUGGGCAGGUUGAGUUGAAUGAUUUGAUCAUUUAGUCACUUAAAUAACCUAACCUUAUCUGCCCGAUAG
rnacentral:miRNA from 1 species